rnacentral:RNase_P_RNA from 1 species
GGAGUCGACCAGGCAGCCGCUAUGGCGACAUAGAGGAAAGUCCGGGCUCCGCAGAGCGGGAUGCAGGGUAAUUCCCUGGCACGGCGACGUGACGAACAGGGCCACAGAGACGAGUCCGGCCUGGCAACGGGCCGGGGUGAGACGCGGCAACCUCCAUCCGGAGCAACACCAAAUAGGCAAGCGCUAGUGGUGUAACGCCACUUCAAGGCCGGCUCGGCCGAAGCUUGCGGGUAGGUGGCUAGAGCCCGGGAGCGAUCCCGGGCCCAGAGGAAUGGCUGCCGGCCCCGUCGGGUUCGCCCGGUUGGGGUGCACAGAACCCGGCUUAUCGGCCGGCUCCCGCU